CUGUGGCCACUCAGGAGCUAGGCCACCUAAUGAUUAUGACAAGUCUGGGGCUGGGUUCUACUUAGGUCACGGCCAGCCUGGGCGUGGCACCCCUGGCCCCUCUGGUCCACCUGGGGAAACACCAUCUGGAGAUCUUGGCCACAUGGGAUCCCCAGUGGAUGAUAAGGCUCCCCAACACAGGAGUCCAGUCAAUGGCAACACACUGCCUCCCCCGGUUCAUGAUGGUCAAGGAGGGGGGUAUAGGAGCAGGAGCUGGAAACACACUCAGUCAGCAAUUGCCAACAACUGCCCUCAACAAAGACCUCCUGGCUCAGGAAGGGCUGCUUGGAGCCAUCAUUCUCAACAACCAGAAUCUGGUUAGGGAGAGAGAGAUGCUACUUAAGAUCCUCCUGGGCAGCAGGACCUUACCUACUGGAAAAGAUCAUCUGCUGGAGGCAGCAGGGUCUCUGGCUCUGGAAGGACUGCUCUGCAAGGGUUCUCUGGGGGGCCUCUGUGGCCACGGGAGUCUUGUUGGCAUCAACAAUGUUCUGAAGAGCACUUCUUUCGGGAAACUCAACAGCUGGAUUUGGAAAUGGGAUUUAGAAUGGAAAUCUAGGUCAAGGAUACGAAGGCCCAGGAUAGAAGAAAAGCCAUGUUGAAGUUUGAGUAAUAAGUCGAGAAGACUGGGAAGUUCUGCUUUUCCACUUCACCUUGCUCUUCCCAUUCUUCAGGCUCAAAAUCAUCAACUUUGAUAUCAUCCAGGUGGCGUGGAAGAAGGUCUAUCCUUUAUCCAACCUCCAACUAGAAUUUCAGACCAGGUUGACUAUCAAACUCCCAGGGACAAAUACUUCCCAGGCUCUUUCAUUAACUGGCUGCUUGAAAUGACCCCUCAGUCUUCCUAUUUCUAGGAUGAGCAUGGGACCCCGCCAAGACUAUGGACCGCCUUUGUGAACAACCUGAGGGCCCUGCAGGCUGCGGGGAGAGUCACGUGGAGCCUGAGGGUGGCACAAGGAAGGCAGAGAAGAAGCAAGUGGAGCUGGCCUUCAGGGUUCCUGAGUCUCCACAGGCCCAGGGCACCUGUUCUUGGUCCAGCAAUAAAUGCUCAGAUGGAUGGCGAGGACUUGGGUCACCACAGGAUCCACUAUGGGAGGCUCCUGGGAAAUAUCACCAUCACGACAUUCAUUCUUUCAGGCAGUAAGCAUAGCCAGGUCCCAUUUGAUAUGAAUCUGACCUGCAAAUCUGCAACAGUGUCCUGCAACAUAUUAAGUUUUACAUGGUGACCAGAAAGUUAAAUAAAACAUCCCCUCCCCCCACC